rnacentral:rRNA from 1 species
CCUACGGGUGGCAGCAGUGGGGAAUAUUGCACAAUGGGGGAAACCCUGAUGCAGCGACGCCGCGUGGGUGAAGAAGUAUUUCGGUAUGUAAAGCUCUAUCAGCAGGGAAGAAGGUGACGGUACCUGACCAAGAAGCCCCGGCUAACUACGUGCCAGCAGCCGCGGUAAUACGUAGGGGGCAAGCGUUAUCCGGAUUUACUGGGUGUAAAGGGAGCGUAGACGGCAGUACAAGUCUGGAGUGAAAGGCCGGGGCUUAACCACGGGACUGCUUUGGAAACUGUGGGGCUAGAGUGCAGGAGGGGUAAGCGGAAUUCCUAGUGUAGCGGUGAAAUGCGUAGAUAUUAGGAGGAACACCAGUGGCGAAGGCGGCUUACUGGACUGUAACUGACGUUGAGGCUCGAAGGCGUGGGGAGCAAACAGGAUUAGAUACCCCUGUAGUC